UACGUAGGGGGCAAGCGUUGUCCGGAAUCAUUGGGCGUAAAGCGCGUGUAGGCGGCUCGAUAAGUCUGCUGUGAAAGUCCAGGGCUCAACCCUGGGAUGCCGGUGGAUACUGUCGAGCUCGAGUCCGGAAGAGGCGAGUGGAAUUCCUGGUGUAGCGGUGAAAUGCGCAGAUAUCAGGAAGAACACCCGUGGCGAAGGCGGCUCUCUGGGACGGUACUGACGCUGAGGCACGAAAGCGUGGGGAGCAAACAGG
rnacentral:rRNA from 1 species